GGGCGGAUAGCUCAGUUGGGAGAGCGCAGCCCUUACAAGGCUGAGGUCACAGGUUCAAUCCCUGUUCCGCCUA
rfam:Deltaproteobacteria bacterium RIFCSPLOWO2_12_FTLL_43_16 rifcsplowo2_12_scaffold_416, whole genome shotgun sequence.